UCAUUUCAAAGAUCACACAGUAUAGAAACUCAUGUAACUCGUUGCGCUAUUUACAACCUAACACAUACAGUAGGAACGUCAAGUUUGAGUUUCUUCUCUUCACAUUAACUUACCAUUUUGCCCGAAUUUAUAUUUUUUCAGUUCCUCUUUAAGUGACAAUGUUUGUACUGUCCCAACAAUGAAGAGACUUGAGAAAAUUGUUGUAAAGACUUUUGCUAGCAUCUUUACAAUCAGCUAGAGGUCCCUGUGUUGUGUUGUAUUGGAACUUUACAGAUCAAAAUGCCUCGAGCAACAAACAGUUUGCAAUUUUAAAGCCUUUCAAGAAUUAAAGCGUUUGCACUCUGGAGAAUACAGGCAAUUGAACUCCUAAAAUGAAGAAGAAACACAUUUAUGUAGAGGCUGUGCUCAUCUGGUUUAAUAGUGGGAUUUAUCCUGUUACUCAGUAUUGAAACACCUAUAUUAAAGAAUCCUUAUGGUAUAAUUGGUAGUACUGUGGACUAUGAAGCAAGAGUUCAGUGGUUCAAACCCUGAUGAAGGUAAGUGUUWUUAAUAAAUUAAAAAUAUAGAAAAUAUCAAUAUUUCUGUGGGGUAUAGGGUAAGAUAAAGUAGGAAAUAGUAGAAGG